rnacentral:lncRNA from 1 species
AGACUAAUGACCGAAGCUUCAAGACUUUGACAUGUGUGAAAACAUGAAAUGACCCUUGGCUCUUAUUGUUCUUGCUGGUGUGGUAUGUUCACGGCUGAAAAGGUGGUCAGAAGGAGAAAGGAGGAAGUGAGAAGAAAGAAACAGGGAAAUGACAGAGUGUUGCUCAGUUACCCAGGCUGGAGUGCAAUGGCAUGAUCUUGGCUCACUGCAGCCUCCACCUCCUGGGUUCAAGCGGUUCUCGUGCCUCAGUCUCCCAAGUAGCUGGGAUUACAGCAGGCUGAGGAAUUACCAAGGAGGCAGGAGGUGGAGCAAAACACACCAAGCCUGAUGCCAAUCAUUGACAAUAUUAUGGAACUGACUCAGCGCAAGAAGACAGCUUCGACUCCUUAUGAUUUCAUCCCUAACCAAUCAGCACUCCUGGCUCACUGGCUUCCCCCAACCCACCAAAUUGUCCUUAAAAACUCUGUUCUCCAAAUGCUGGGGGAGACUGAUUUGAGUAAUAAUAAAACUCUGGUCUCCUGCA